GGAGUGGCUCAUCGUCACAACCAUUGAACGCGGGAGUGACAAAUACACGAUGACAGGUGAAGACGACGCAACAAUCGACCAUAGAGGAAGAUGAUGACAUUGUUGAUACCAAAGAAACGAUUGCCUAGAGGGCUGUGCUAAGUACAUAUUCACUCAUUAAUGACGAUGAGGAGGAAGCCUAUAGGCCCACACCUCCGAAUACAUGUCCAAAUGCACCUCCGAUUGCACCUCUGGUUGUACGGCCG
rnacentral:lncRNA from 1 species